rnacentral:tRNA from 1 species
AAAAUCCGUUGGCUUUUUAGACCGUGAGGGUUCAAGUCCCUCUAUCCCCA